AAUCCAAUGAUGAGGGCACUUACAAAGUAAUUUUUUAAAUCUUUCCUAUGUCUCGUACAAAGAUUCGUCAUCUAAUUUUUGAAAAGUGGUAAUCUCGUUUCAGAAC
rfam:Gossypium arboreum cultivar AKA8401 contig_51554_1, whole genome shotgun sequence.